rnacentral:RNase_P_RNA from 1 species
AAUACCGUCUGUCUUAUCGCCGGGAAGUUUGCGCUUGCGUCUGCUUUCAGGAGGAAAGUCCGGACAACAGAGGGCACCACACUUCCUAACAGGAAGGUACUGAUCCCGUUGUAAAACGGGUAAGUAACAGAAAGUGCAACAGAAAACAAACAGCCCUAAAGCUGAGCCUUUGGCGCGCUUUUCGGCUACGGUGAAAAGGUGGGCCCGCCUCCGCAAGGAGGUGGGAUAAUUUGCUUCGGCAGACAAUGUAAGAGCCCACCGCGCCAAUGGUGACAUUGGUGGCAUGGUAAACCUUGUGGGUUGCAAGAUCAAGUAUAUUGCGCAUGAGUUGCCCGCUCAAAAUGUGCAAUGGGUGGAUCGCUGGAUCCUGAUGGCGACAUCAGGGCUAGAUAAAUGAUAAGACCCCAAAGCAGAGCCUCUGGCAAUCUUUGGGUGACAGAAUCCGGCUUACAGGGCGGUAUUUCAU